GAAAUGCGAUAAGUAAUGUGAAUUGCAGAAUUCAGUGAAUCAUCGAAUCUUUGAACGCACCUUGCGCCCUUUGGUAUUCCGAAGGGCAUGCCUGUUUGAGUGUCAUUAAAUUAUCAACCUUGCUCGCUUUUACCGGCUUGAGUUAGGCUUGGAUGUGAGGGUCUUUGCUGGCUUCCUUCAGUGGAUGGUCUGCUCCCUUUAAAUGCAUUAGUGGGAUCUCUUGUGGACCGUCACUUGGUGUGAUAAUUAUCUAUGCCAUCUUGACUUUGAAGCAAACUAAUGGGAACCUGCUCAUAACCGUCCUUUCAGGACAACUCUUGACAUUUUGACCUCAAAUCAGGUAGGACUACCCGCUGAACUUAA
rnacentral:misc_RNA from 1 species